ensembl:snoRNA
GCCCUGUGGUUGCUGGAGGCUGCUGAACAGUGCCACACUCCUGGGUAUGGAGGGCCAGUGCAGCCCAGUGACUUACGCAUGGGAGUUGUUUUUCCUCAGCAACUGCUUUAGCCAGGUCCCUAGUGCAUGG